UACAGAGGGGGCAAGCGUUGUUCGGAAUUACUGGGCGUAAAGGGCGCGUAGGCGGCCAACUAAGUCGGACGUGAAAUCCCCAGGCUCAACCUGGGAACUGCGUCCGAUACUGGAUGGCUCGAAUCCGGGAGAGGGAUGUGGAAUUCCAGGUGUAGCGGUGAAAUGCGUAGAUAUCUGGAGGAACACCGGUGGCGAAGGCGGCAUCCUGGACCGACACUGACGCUGAGGAGCGAAAGCCAGGGAGCAAACGGG
rnacentral:rRNA from 1 species